AAUUUUUCUUGUUAUCUUUCUGUUUCCUUGCUCUGAUUGUAUCAGCGAGCUCUUUGCAGACCUCAAAAGGACAAUCACCACAUAAUGGGAUUGCUUUCGCCAAUUUUCUUGCUCACAAAGGCUCCUAUUUGAACAUUACAUAUGUUUGGGAAAGAACUGGUCCAACACUCCUUAGAGUGCGCAUUUAAAUGUCUCUGUAAGGAUCCAUGUUUGUCCUUCAACCUGGCAGAUUUGGCUGAAAACAUCGAAAAUCUGCUAUGUGAACUGCUUCCAUCGGAUCGUUACACCCAUUCAGACAAGUUCAUUACCAACCAUUCUUGGUAUCACUACAGUAUUACGUCUCCAUGCUCGAUGUCGCCCUGUCAGAACAAAGGGACCUGUGUACCUCUGUAUCGGACAAACAGUUACAAGUGUCGCUGUACGGAAGCAUAUACAGGAAGACACUGCGAAAG